AUUGAACGCUGGCGGCAUGCCUUACACAUGCAAGUCGAACGGCAGCACGGGAGCAAUCCUGGUGGCGAGUGGCGAACGGGUGAGUAAAGUAUCGGAACGUGCCCAGUCGUGGGGGAUAACGUAGCGAAAGUUACGCUAAUACCGCAUACGAUCUAUGGAUGAAAGCGGGGGAUCGCAAGACCUCGCGCGAUUGGAGCGGCCGAUAUCAGAUUAGGUAGUUGGUGGGGUAAAGGCUCACCAAGCCGACGAUCUGUAGCUGGUCUGAGAGGACGACCAGCCAGACUGGGACUGAGACACGGCCCAGACUCCUACGGGAGGCAGCAGUGGGGAAUUUUGGACAAUGGGCGCAAGCCUGAGCCAGCCAUGCCGCGUGCAGGAUGAAGGCCUUCGGGUUGUAAACUGCUUUUGUACGGAACGAAAAGGUUUGACUUAAUACGUUGGACUCAUGACGGUACCGUAAGAAUAAGCACCGGCUAACUACGUGCCAGCCGCCGCUGUAA
rnacentral:rRNA from 1 species